CUACGGGUGGCAGCAGUGAGGAAUAUUGGACAAUGGGGGAAACCCUAAUCCAGCAAUGCCGCGUGGAUGAAGAAGGCCUUCGGGUUGUAAAGUCCUUUCACUCGUGAGGAUGAUGACAGUAGCGAGAGAAGAAGCCCCGGCUAACUCUGUGCCAGCAGCCGCGGUAAGACAGAGGGGGCUAGCGUUGUUCGGAAUUACUGGGCGUAAAGGUGCGUAGGCGGUUAUUUAAGUAAAGCGUUAAAGCCCUAGGCUUAACCUAGGAAUCGCGUUUUAAACUGGAUAACUUGAGUAUGGUAGAGGAAAGUGGAAUUCCUAGUGUAGAGGUGGAAUUCGUAGAUAUUAGGAGGAACACCAGAGGCGAAGGCGGCUUUCUGGACCACUACUGACGCUGAGGCACGAAAGCGUGGGGAGCAAACAGGAUUAGAUACCCUCGUAGUC
rnacentral:rRNA from 1 species